UGUAAUGUAGCUCAGUGGUUAGAACACUUGCCUCUUAUGUCAGAGACCCUGACUUUGAGUCUCUGCACUGCAA
rnacentral:tRNA from 1 species